GAUUUGUGGCAGUAGAUGUCCCUACGGAACUGGCAACCCAACCGCGGCGUCCAACUCCUUCCCUCGCCGCAACCUGGCUUUGGGGUCCAACUUGAAAGGCUCCACUGGUCCAGCCGCUUCGCUUCACCGGCCGACGACAUGGCAUCACCGGCGAGCAGCGAUUCCGACCAGGUACUGGUGGAAGCAAAUGGCUCUACACGGACACUUAUUUUGAAUAGGCCAAAGCAGUUGAAUGCCCUCUCCUCUGCAAUGGUUACAGGACUUCUGAAAUGUUUCACUUCUUAUGAGGAAGAAAACACAGUUAAACUAUUGAUUGUCAAGGGAAAUGGAAGAGCAUUUUGCGCAGGAGGUGAUGUUGCUGAAGUCGCCCAAUCUAUAAAUAAUGAUAGCUGGAAAUAUGGUGCUGAUUUUUUCCGUACUGAAUUUCUGUUGAACUAUAUCAUUGCAACUUAUAGCAAACCACAGGUUUCUCUACUUACUGGAAUAGUCAUGGGUGGAGGUGCUGGUGUUUCUAUACAUGGAAGGUUUCGGGUUGCCACGGAGAACACGGUUUUUGCAAUGCCAGAAACAGCACUGGGACUCUUCCCAGAUAUAGGGGCUUCUUAUUUUCUUUCUAGACUACCUGGGUUCUAUGGAGAGUAUGUUGGCCUUACCGGUGCAAGAUUGGAUGGUGCGGAAAUGCUUGCAUGUGGCUUGGCGACUCAUUUUGUCCCUUUGAACAGGAUGUCACUGCUUGAAGAAUCACUUAAAAGGGUGGACGCUUCUGAUCCAUUUGCUAUAUGUGGAAUUAUUGAUCAAUUUUCAAAACAGCCAUCCUUAAAAGGAAGUAGUUCUCUGAAUAGGAUGGACAUCAUCAACAGAUGCUUCUCCAAAGGAACAGUCGAAGAAAUCAUAUCCACUCUUGAACAAGAAGCUCCAAGUGUGUCUGAUAAAUUGGUUACUGCUGCAAUCCAGUCAUUGCGGAAGGCCUCUCCUACUAGUCUGAAAAUCUCUCUCGCAUCGAUAAGAGAAGGGAGGCUGCAAACUGUUGGUGAGUGCUUGCGCCGAGAAUAUAGAAUGGUUUGCCAUGUGAUGCGCGGUGACUUCAGCAGAGACUUCUUUGAGGGAUGUAGGGCGAUACUGGUAGAUAAAGAUCGAAACCCAAAGUGGAUGCCGCCAACUCUGGAUCAAGUGCAUGACGGGGUAGUUGCAAACUACUUCUCCAAGGUCGAUGAUCCACAUUGGGAAGAUUUGAACCUACCAACUAGGUCUUCCCAUGGAAGAAGAAUUGUUCCCAAGCUCUGAUGGAAGUCUCAUGCGGAGGAUUCAGAUGAAGCCUGGAUGGGUGCUCGUGAGUAAACGGGCAAGUGUUGAGUGAUACUCCUAUAUAAUCCUGGCCGCGGUCGCCCUCCAGAUGGCUGAAGCUUAUAGUACAGACUACCGGCUUUCACGGUGCAAUGGCAGCAUAUUUAUACGGCCCGCUGGUCCCCUGAUGGCGGCCCAUUGGCGGCAUACACACGUACAGUGGUCCAUCCACAGAUUCAACAACUUCUAUAGUUUAUUUUGUUUGAUUGAGUGGUUCCAUAGUUUAUUUUUUAAACAAAAGAAUAAUAGCUUACGCACUUGUAUAACCUAACCCCUCUUCCGACGGCCAGCUCACCGGGUGACUAUAAAAUAAGACCAUCAUGCCUUUCUUGACGAA